ACUGUGUGUUCUGCUUAAUUUGACACUUGAUCCAGAUCAUAUUUGUGCUGCUUGGUGACUCAGUAUUAAUGAACAAGAAUCAGAUUUAGGAAGAUUCUUCCAGCCUAAGGUCAAUCGGUAAUUAUGAUCACUUAGCUUUUUAAUCUUCCAUUACAGAGACAAUUUCUGUUAAAACAAUGCAGACUCACAAAAUUUUGAAAUGCUUAUCAGUCGUAUUUCAUCAUGCUCCCCAUUCUCUUUCAGUCUCCCCAACUCUCCCCCCAGUAAUCCUCAGUGAUUACUGGAUUUCAUUAGAUACUAAAAGCAGAUCAUGAGAACUGUGAUUUCUAUAUGAUGCUCCUUCUCUACUCUUUAGCUCUUCUCUCCACCUGCUGCUAAAAUGGAUGUGGAGACUCAGACUGAAAGCAUGUAUGUUCAUGCCACAGCUCAGGUCUCAGGCUGAGGUACUCAGUGAGUGCUUUGUCUCAGUCUUCACAGAUGGCCAGGCUUCCCAUGUCCGCCAGGACCAUGAGCCUCUAGGUGAGGGUGUGGGGAGUGGUUUCUGUCCCACUGUAAUGGUGGAACAAGUCCAAGUCCUCCUCAUGAAACUGAAUGUGUAUAAGUCCAUGGGGCCAGAUGAUAUCCAUCCUAGGGUUCUGAAAGAGAUGGCUGAUGUGGUUGCCGAGCCACUCUCCAUCAUAUUUGAAAAAUCAUGGCUGUCUAGUGAAGACCCUGGUGACUGAAAAAAGGGAAACAUUACUCCCAUUGUUAAGAAAGUGAGAAAGGAAGACCUGGGGAACUACAGGCCAGUGAGUCUUACCUCUGUGCCUAGGAAGAUCAUGGAGCAGAUCCUCCUAGAAGCUAUGUUAAGGCACAUACAGGAUAAAGAGGCGAUUUGAGACAGCCAGCAUGGCUUCACCAAGGGCAGAUUGUGUCUGACCAAUCUGGUGACCUUCUGUGAUGGAGUGAUGGCUUCAGUGGGUGGGGGAAGGGCAACAGAUGUCAUCUACAUGGACUUCAGCAAAGCCUUUGACAUGGUCCCUCACCGCAUCCUUCUCUCUAAAUUGGAGAGGCAUGGAUUUGAAGGAUGGACUGUUUGAUGGAUUAGGAAUUGGUUGGCUGGUCGCAGCCAAAGGGUUGUGAUUAAAG
ensembl:lncRNA